CAAAUACUGAAGGAAUAAAAAGACAGUGAAGGCCACACGUUUGUUGGAUUCUAAAUCUGACGGGGUCGAUGGAGACGAUCGACACGAUGACCAAAUGAUUCCUAACACCUGCUGGCCUGGACUCACAGAGAGGUGAAAAAAAGAUGAGCGGCGUCUCCGCCUCCGUUCCAACGCUUCAUCAAACCAAAAGAGAAAACUUCCUCUUUCUCUUCUUCCUCCUCUUCCUCCCCUCCUCCUCCUCUUCCUUCUUCCUCUUCCUCUUCUUCCUCUUCUUCCUCCUCCUUCCUCUUCCUCCCCCCUCUUCCUCCUCCUCCUCUUCCUCUUCGUCCUCCUCCUCUUCGUCCUCCUCCUCUUCGUCCUCCUCCUCUUCCUCCUCCUCCUCUUCCUCUUUGUCCUCUUCCUCUUCGUCCUCCUCCUCUUCGUCCUCCUCCUCCUCCUCCUCCUCACUGAUGAAGGAAUGAAACACAAACUCUGACACUCAUAGGAGAACAUGCAGCUAUGAGACGCCUUCCCGCGGUAAGAGGACUGAAGCUUCAGUCGGACUCUGAGGUACGACAAACUUCACUACUUGAAUCACCUGACGACUCUUCAAACAUGGCCGCCGCCGGCUGACGGAGUCCAGCACACGGUAUAUUCACGCGUCGAUGUUUGUGGGAGAUUAUAGACAACUUGUAAUUCCUGUCUGUACGAUCAUAUUCAAACCAAAACAUAUUACUGCAUGCUGUGAAAGUAGAGCAUGCAAACAGAAGAAAGAGACUUUUGUGUUGACGGCUCAAAGCCAGCAUCGCUCAUCUGAAACACGGGAACAACAACAACAACAACAACAACAAGAGCCGCUCGUCCGCAUCAAGCUCAUCACAACAAUUCUGUUCGCCCGGCGGAGUUUGUUUCUAAAUCUCUAUUUUUUACGGUAUCAUACUGUAUGUGUUUUCUAUGGGGAGGAAUCAGCCUCGUGAUUAUUUUGUAGUUUUUCACAUUUUUGCUAAUGUGUUCGAGUUGUUGUCAUGUUUUUUUAAUUUUUUUUGUUUGCCUUGGUAAAAACAAAGCAGCUCCAGCGGGCAGCGACGAAUGUCUUGAGUGGAAACUGUUCCGCUGAAACGCAUCGAUCGCAGACAUUUUCACAUCUGACUUUCUUUGGAUGAUUUUUGAAUGUUUCCGAUUGUGUUUUUUGGGGGUUUUUGAUCAAAAUGCUGUAUAUCUGUUUAAAAACAUCUACCUCAGUGUGUCAGCUCAUUAACGACAGAAGCUUUAACACCUGGAUGACGUCGGCGUCCCCCUUCUUUAUCUGAAAAGAAAAGUCUCAAAUGAUCCGGUGCAAUGAAAUGAACCCAGACACUCAAACAAAGAGAAGUCUGAGGAUGCUUGAAGGAAACGUAUUAACGAUGAACGUGUAUCACAAGGUUUUCAAAAUGAUUCUUUGAAACCUUUCAAAACCACCUGUUUUAAAACAAGUCGUAAUUUAAUGAUCGUAAUGUACGGAGGCUUUAGAGAAACUACAUCUGCUCCAGAAGACCGGUGAGGAAGAGGAGAGGAAGAAAUCCAUCAAAUGUUGUAGCAACCUCCUGCACACCUUAAACAUGAGCAACGUUGGUGUUGAAGUCAAGACCACACUGACCGAGACCAAAACAUACCUGAGACUGGAGUGCUCCGAGACCGAGUCAAGACCUUAAAUAUCACUGAAACAUCAUCAUCCUGUGUUUAGGGGUUGUGUCACUCAGUUGGACUGUAACACCGGGAAGGUUGCAGUCGUAAAGAGGCGUAGAAAAAUAGUCUGUCAGUGGUGGUCUUGAUUUAAAAAUGAAGUCCAAGGCCGAGAAAAAAUGCUCUCGAUCCCGAGACCGAGAACUUCAAGAAGUGAUCCGGAGACCAAGACCGACUUUGAAUGCUUCAACACCAGUUUCUAUACCGAAAUGUUGCCGACGUCGAUGGGAAAUCUUAUUCAGUGUGCAGGAGUUUACGUGCAACUUUUAGUAAUCAAAAACAACAAUGAUUGAUUUUUCUUACAGAUCAUAUUGACGUUUAAAACUCCGGUUUAGUGACAACUCUCAUAUAUUAAUUUAAAACCGUCCAGACUAAAUACAGCAAAGCAGCGUAGAGCCUGACAUGAUCGUGUUUGCACAACUUUUUAAAUUUAUUUGCCAAAUAGUAAAACAUGCUUGUGAACGAGUACGGCUGUUUGAAUAUAUGUUUUCUUUAUUUAAGGGCAAUAACAGACUGCAGAGGUUUCAUAAGAGGAGCUGGUUAGUCUAACUCAGAUAAAUCCUGAACUAGAGUCCGUCCAGUCCUAAUCCCUUCUGAUGAAUAAUAAGAAUCUGAAAACAGUCAGAGGAAGAUGAGCUGCUAUCUUAAAAACAACGUUCAGUCUGCAUUGUUUUAAUUGAGCUUUUUCCCCUUGACUCUGAGAGUUCAGACCGAGAGAGAAACAAACCAAAACUACUAAUUUAUUUCAUGGAGAUGGUCAAAACUAUUUGAUGUCUGUUUUCUCAUCUGAUUUCCCCAAAAUGUUCAACUUCCUGAUUAUGAAUAAACAUCAGUUGUAGUCUGUAAAACUUCCAUCAGACCUCUAACAUCAGCUCUGCAGCUCGGUCUCGGUGUAUUUCUGCUUGGCUCGGACAUAAAAACAGCCGGGGGAGACCUCUGUCUGUCUGACAGAGUUACUGAUGAGCGGUGACGAGGCAUUAAGUUGUGAUGAUUAACGUUUUCUGCUAACUGUGCAACAACAACAACAGUAAUAAUACAGUAAAUCCCUUGUGAGUGCAGCAGUGUCCUCUGACUCUGACUUUGGUCAGGUUUCCACACCAUCGCUCGAUAUUCACCAACACAAAACAUCCGCUGAAGGACAUGUUCAUGCUUCAUUAUAACCCACAGAGUUCAGCUCGGGCUCGCCCCCCCAACUCGUCUCAUUUCAUGCAAAAAGAAGAAAAAAGCAAUAGUGGGAGUGACGUCUGUGCUCUGAGGAACUUCAGUGUGGACGCAUUCUGAUUUCAUUUUUAUUUUUUUUAUUGCAAAUUAAAUUGUUGCCAUGAUUAUUUUGACAAUCUUCAAUUGUGAUCUAUUUUUGAUAAAAUAAAUCUUUAAUCCUGAUCCGCUUCGAUCUUCAUGUGUUUGAUGAUUACACAUGCAGAUGUGUCAUGCUUUCUCCUUGUUUGUUUUACGUGUCAUAAACAUUUCAAUGGCGAGGAUGGAUUUAUGUGUGUGUGUGUGUGUGUUUGUGUGCGUUGCUUGGAGAAAAUGGCUUCACAUUAUAUGUUCAUUCAUUCUGCGGACAAUCUUUGAUCAGGAGAGAAAGCGACACAUCUUUAACGUCCAAUGGAAAUUAAAGAUCCCGUCUCCUCCUCAUGUUCACCUUUCAUGUCGUCAGUCUGUGAAACCUUUAGAACAGCUUCACAUGAUCUCAUUUAUCUGAUACUAGAGUCAGUAAAAACCCUCAUUUCAGCCUGAGCUGCUGUCUCUUUAAGAACCCCCCCCCCCCCCACGUUUGGAUGGUUUGACUCUUUCAGAUGCAACAUGAAAACAGCAGAAAUGUGUACUAAGCUUUGGUCUGAACAUCUUGAACAGUGAAAAGAUAUCGUAUAGCAAUUAUAAGUUAUGUACACCUAAAGCCAACAUAAUGCUAAGCUAAUGCUAACCACAACCACACUCAUAGCGGUUAAAUGUAAGUUGUGAUGUGAAAUGCUUCGUAGGUUAAGCCGUGUCUUAACUGUGUUUAGAAAACCAGCUGAGGUCACUUAGAAACAUGCAGUCUGGCAGUAAAUCAACAAUAAGCAAUAACGCAUGAAUAGCAGAGUAUCGUCGGCGAAGGGGAGUUGUCAGGUUGUUCAUCUCUGUGCAUACAAAGUGGAUAGUGCCUUAAUCACAACCUCAUUCUGUUAAUACACCUUCAAAUGCAUCUCAAGAACCAUAGAAGAAGAAGUUAUGUAUUUAUAUCUGCUCUGUAGGGAUGCAAUUGACUGGUUGCACAUAGAAAUAAUGUAUCGUAAAAUGUAUUGAAUGUACAGUAAGUAGUCUUCCUGGUUGGUGUUUUGAGAGGAAACAAAUAUGAAAAGUAAAAAAGACAUUUCCGUUUCUUUGGAAGCUCCCAUAGUUUCAUUUUUACAUUUGAGUGUAAUCACAUUGAUCUCUGUUUUUUAUUUUGCUUUUGGGCUGCUCAGGAGAGUUAAAUUGAUGACUGUGACCCCCUCGACUCAUCCCCCCUUCAUCAAAAUGAUCAGCUGUUUUAUUGAAGUGUGGAUGUUUCAAAUGACCAAUAAUAGAAUUAAUAAAAAACAACAAAAUGAAAGAUGAUUUGAACGAAAACUGAAAUUAAACGGCUUCAAAUAUGAAAUUUAAGAUGAAUAUUAUGUAAAUAGUAUUUUUUCAAAUCUUUGAGUCCUGAGAAAAAAAUGUGUGUGGCUCACGUCGUCAAAAUCUGAAAUGAUACAGAAUAUAUUAAUUUAAAUAGUAGAACAAAAACGGACAGUUACCUUCAGUUUUCAUAUUAUGCAAACACAUUAUAUUUUUUAAGGUCCUGUUAAAAAAGGUUAAAUUAAAGGUCACAUAUUCUGUAAAAUCCACUUCUCCAUGUUCCUCUAACACUAACAUGUGUCUCUAGUUCGUCUACAAACCCCCCAAUGAUGAGAAAAGUCCAUCCUCUCCGUCUUCUGCCUGCUCCACUUUUCAGAAAAUGUGUGCUCAAACAGGCCGUUUGGAGAUUUUCCCUUCAUGACAUCACAAAGGGCAGUAGCCCCUCCCCCAGGUGGGUGACACUCCCACAGCUAGGUGUUUGUCCUUCCAGAGAGGGGGCGUGGUCAGACACAGCUCAUUUACAUAUUUAAAGGUACAGACACAGAAACAGCCUGUUCUGAGCAGGGCUGAAAUAGAGGGGUUUAUAGACAUGAUCAAAUACAGGAUCAGAGUGGAUUUAGAACAAGAAACUUCACACACAUGUUUUGAGGAGCUCUGAGACUUAUUUAAACUGAAGAAGAGGAGGAGGAUAUGUGACCUUCAAAUGUUUGAUGCUUAAAAGUAAAUUAUGUGGAGAGUAUUUUGGCUGGUAUGAAAGACUGUGAUUGGUUGCGUACAUUAUUUCUUUUCAAUUAACGAACAUAAAAAAUGUAAACCAAUAAAAGAGGUUAUAAACGUUGUCCCUAAAUGUACUUCUGUUGAAACAUCAGGUUAAAUAUAACUUUACUUUUUUUACAAUGAUGUUAUGAUGCAAAGGAGGGAAACAAGACUGAGAUAAAAAAGACUAAAAAAAUAACCAUCACAGACUCUUACAGGCAUGAGUGUAACACAUGCAACCUGUCUCCAUGUAUUUGCGGUGAGUCGUGUUCUCUUUCCACUGAACUGUGUUUGUCUCACUGUGAUUUCUGCUUCUGCACUGAGUCCCGCUAACAGCUGAUAACAACACCUGUAACAAAAGAGACUUCCUGUCUGCAAAACCUCAACCUGUGUCCUCAGUGUUUAAAAAAAAUCUCAAAUAAUAUUUUAUUUUUGUUAACUUGAGUGUCUGUGUGUGUCACUGUACGACAGGUAUAACGUUAAAUAUCAGAGAAUUAAAAAAAAGAGAACAAGUCUUUCAUAAUGUAAUAUAAAUGUCUGGCUUGGGAUGGUACAUGCUGUAUAUGCACAACAGAGUCAUUCUGAUAGUUGUGACCAAGUUUAAUGUGGCCUUUUCUUUCUCUUUAAUGUACUGCAAUGUUGUAAAUUAUUUGUAAAAUAUUACAUAAUGUAUAUUAAAGUUGACAAGGCUUUAUGUUUCUACAACUUAUGUUUAAUAAAUAAAUGAACUGUG